rnacentral:rRNA from 1 species
GACAGAGGGUGCAAACGUUGUUCGGAAUUACUGGGCGUAAAGCGUGUGUAGGCGGUCCCGUAAGUCGGGUGUGAAAGCCCCGGGCUCAACCCGGGAAGUGCACUCGAAACUGCAGGGCUAGAGUAUCGGAGAGGUUGGUGGAAUUCUCGGUGUAGAGGUGAAAUUCGUAGAUAUCGAGAGGAACACCGGCGGCGAAGGCGGCCAACUGGACGAAUACUGACGCUGAGGUGCGAAAGCGUGGGGAGCAAACAGG